rnacentral:rRNA from 1 species
GACGAACGCUGGCGGCGUGCUUAACACAUGCAAGUCGAGCGGUAAGGCCCUUUCGGGGGUACACGAGCGGCGAACGGGUGAGUAACACGUGGGUGACCUGCCCUCAGCUCUGGGAUAAGCCUGGGAAACCGGGUCUAAUACUGGAUAUGACUCCAUGACGCAUGUUGUGGGGUGGAAAGCCUUGUGCGGCUGAGGAUGGGCCCGCGGCCUAUCAGCUUGUUGGUGGGGUGAUGGCCUACCAAGGCGACGACGGGUAGCCGGCCUGAGAGGGCGACCGGCCACACUGGGACUGAGACACGGCCCAGACUCCUACGGGAGGCAGCAGUGGGGAAUCUUGCGCAAUGGGCGAAAGCCUGACGCAGCGACGCCGCGUGAGGGAG